UACGUAGGGUGCGAGCGUUGUCCGGAAUUAUUGGGCGUAAAGAGCUCGUAGGCGGUGUGUCACGUCGGCCGUGAAAACCUGCAGCUUAACUGUGGGCGUGCGGUCGAUACGGGCAUCACUGGAGUUCGGCAGGGGAGACUGGAAUUCCUGGUGUAGCGGUGAAAUGCGCAGAUAUCAGGAGGAACACCGGUGGCGGAAGGCGGGUCUCUGGGCCGAUACUGACGCUGAGACGCGAAAGCG
rnacentral:rRNA from 1 species